GCAGUAGCCGCGGUAAUACGUAGGGUGCAAGCGUUAAUCGGAAUUACUGGGCGUAAAGCGUGCGCAGGCGGUUAUAUAAGACAGAUGUGAAAUCCCCGGGCUCAACCUGGGAACUGCAUUUGUGACUGUAUAGCUAGAGUACGGCAGAGGGGGAUGGAAUUCCGCGUGUAGCAGUGAAAUGCGUAGAUAUGCGGAGGAACACCGAUGGCGAAGGCAAUCCCCUGGGCCUGUACUGACGCUCAUGCACGAAAGCGUGGGGAGCAAACAGGAUUAGAUACCCGUGUAGUCCCUGUCUCUUAUAC
rnacentral:rRNA from 1 species